rnacentral:tRNA from 1 species
GACUCAGUGGUUCAAUGGCAAAGCAAUCGCCGCGUGAGCCAGAAGGUCCUGGGUUCAAUCCCCUAUGGGGUCG